UGACUACAGUGAUGUUGGCUCUUGUU
rnacentral:sRNA from 1 species